UUUCGGCGAGUGCGUGUACGCUGUUUGCUUGAGAGCUUCCUGCGGUUUCUGCGUUCUUUGUGUGCUUCGCUGUGACAUCUUUGGAAUAUUCCUGCGUGUUGCUCGCUUUUUAUGGGCUUGUUGCCUCGAAGAUCGCCAUGAUCGCCUCCGACUCGGCGACAUUAAGGAUUCAAAAUGAGCUGAGAGACACCCAAGCUGGAAUGCUAAAGGUUCACAUAGGCUGUAAGAGUGCACAUUCAGAAGGUUAUCCUGGCCCAGCUUACUAUGGCCUGCCAUGGUGGACCAGGAAAGUUUGCAAGGGCCUUGCUUCACCAUGUGUUCACAGAGGAGGAGCUCAUGGGCCAUUUGGGCUUUGGAAAUAACACCAAGGGGCAACAGAGGCUCUUGACCCCAUCAGGGUCAGUGCUGUUAUAGGCUUCACGUGUCGCAAAUUUCCUGGUACCAACAUGCCCUAUUUAAAGAACUCUGGCCUCGCUUCUCGCAUGGGACCCUGCCCCUGAAGCAACUGCCCCUGCCCCUUCAUCUCUGAAGAGCCCAAGUUGGACAGCUCAAACCAAAACACAAGUGUUGUGCUCUUGUAACUCUCGACAUUCUUAUGUUUUAUGUUAGUCUCUUGAAGGACCCAAUUUGGAUUUCUCAAAUGAGCAUACAAAUGUUGUGCCUUUCUAUGGCUUGACAUUUUUAUGUUAAUAUUAUUUAUGUUAAUUAUGCCAGUCUCCUGAGAAGCCCACAUUGGAUUGCUCAAUCCAGAAUACAAGUGCUGUGCUUUGUUAUAGUUCACUACAUUUUUAUGUUAGUUUUUGAUAUGGUUCCAGUAAGGAUAGUGUUUCCUUAUUAAUAUAUUUUUUAAGUAUCUUAAGUCAUUUCAUGCCAAACCACCCAACACUUUUUUCAAGAACUGUUCCAUUAUGGCAAACCAUUUCAAGUUUGCUUGAUUUUGAGUAGGUACAGCGAGAAAAUGUUCGAGAAAAUUUGCUUUCAUACAUACUCUUAAGUCAUUCCAGGGCAACCAACCAGCGUUUUUUUGGCCAUCACAGAUAUAGUUGAAGCUCCGAACUCUUGCUCCCCAUUUAUUUUCCUUCACAAAAAUUUUGAAUUUUGGCAAAAAUUUAUUGUUCUUGCCCAGCUAAGCUAGAAGCCACUGAUACACGUUUCUUCUGAAAGGGAAAUUGUAUGAUCUAGAUAUUCAGAUGGUGUUCAUGUCAAGAGAAUGAAGUGGUGACUGCCAAAAUUUGCAAAGUUUGAAUUUUCUUCUGACGUAGGGAAAUACAGAAGGCACAAAAUGAAUAUAAAAUCACACUGGUUGACUUGGUAUAACUGCAAAAUAUUUCAAGCCUUGGAGGUUCAGUUGAUCAGCUAAAAAAACUAAAGUUGAAAUUUUUUGCAAGCUUCGUGUUGAAGGUAAAAAAUUAGCUUUGGUGGUUGGCAGAAAAAUAUGUCACCCAUCACUACACAGCCGUACAUGUCUGCUAUGCAUGUGACAAGUAACAAAAAGUUAUUAUUCUUUAAGUGCGAUAAAUUAUUUUUUAUAAUGUUCAUUUGUGGAUCACACAUACAGCAUGAAUAUAUGAAGCCAUGUCAUCUAGCAAGGAAAGGCUGUUAAUAUAUUAGCCACAAGAACUACUCAACAACCUGACUGCCUUUUUUAUCAUUACGAAAGCAGGUGACGUCAAGCGCUGCUGCUGCAGUCUCAACUCGUAUUUUUUUUACAUGAACGCAAAAAGUGGUCGCCAAUGGUGUCUGACCACAUCAGACUGAACAUAGCACAUAUGACUUUCAUAGAUGAGCAUGUUCCAGCUCUGAAACAGUGGCAGCAAACAACACCACAAGAAUUUGUUCAUACUUAUGUAGGUUUUCAGUCUGAAUUAUGAAGGUGUUUUCUACUUGCAUCAUCAUUGGGCUUCAGGGAGCAGGGCACAAAGUGUCCUGCUCCCUCUAUGUUGCAUUGCAAUGCGACACGCCCUUUAAGAUGCUUUGUAUGAACAAUAUCAGUGCUCUUUCUGGAUUUACUGUCUACAUAAUAGCUGAUAUUUCUUUUUCUAAACUGCAUGGAACAUAUCUUUUAGCACUGCAGGAUUCCCUCACAUAUUUAUUACGUAGGAGGUCUGUUAGAAAAGUAUUCGACCUUUUUUUGCGAACACCUGAUGAAUAUGAAACUAGCACGUUUUCAACAGCCGCCUUUGAACCUUUGUGCGCAUGCACGAAUUUUUUCCCACCUGCCAAUAUCGUGAAUUGCUGAGACGCAGCGUUUGAAUGAGGUAGUACAGUGCUCUCGUCGGUUUUUUAUUGCAAGGAAAAUGGCAGAGCGACUGGAGCAGUGCUACUGCAUCAAAUUUUGCCAGAAACUGGGCGACAGCCAAGUGGAAACCAUCCGGAAGAUUCAGACUGCUUUCGGUGACUAUGCUAUGAGCAGCACACAGAUUAAGGAGUGGUACAACCAGUAUAAAGACGGCCACACAUCGGUGGAGAGCGAGCCACGCUCCAGUCGGCCAUCAACAUGCCGAAAUGACCAGGUCAUUGCCGAAGUGAACCCCGUGGUGAUGCGGGACCGUAGUGUAACUAUCCAAGAAAUUGCGGAAGAGGUGGGCAUCAGCACAUUUUAUCCACAUUCCAUUAUCACCGAAGAUUUGGCCAUGAAGAGAGUUGCGCCGAAAUUCGUUCCCAAGCUGCUCAUGGUGGAGCAAAAGCAACUUCGUGUUGAAGUCUCACAGACAUGCUGGAUUCCACAAACAGUGACCCCAACUUCAUGAACACCAUAAUCACUUGUGACAAGUCUUGGGUGUAUGUUUACGACCCGGAAACCAAAUCCCAGUCGUUACGGUGGAAGCAUUCCACACCAUAAUCACUUGUGACAAGUCUUGGGUGUAUGUUUACGACCCGGAAACCAAAUCCCAGUCGUUACAGUGGAAGCAUUCCACGUCACCAACCAAAGACCGCUAAGUGUGCAGCAACGUCAAAGUGUUGCUGACUGCUUUCUUUGACUCCCGCAGUGUGGUACACCACGGAUACACACCACAGGGUCAAACAAUCACUAAAGACUACUACAGGGAUGUCCUCCAUGGCCUAUGUGAUGCUGUAUGGAGCAAGAUACCGAAGUUGUCAACAGGAAAUUGGCACAUCCAUCACGACAAUGCUUUUCUCGCACUUGAUUCAGACUUUUUGGCGAAAAACCAGACUCCUGUAGUUCGACAGGCUCCUUGCUCUCCUGAUAUGGCGGCCUGCAACUUCUGGCUGUUUCCCAAAAUCAAGGGGCCAUUGAAACAAGCGUGAUUUCAGACAAGAGAAGACAUUAUGGCUGCAACGACAGCUGAGCUAAAGUCCAUUUGGAAAGAGGCCUUCUCGGAAUGCUUCUAACAAUGGCAGCACCGCUAGGAGAAGUGGCUGGAUUCCCAAGGAGACUACUUUGAGGGUGAUUAAGUUUCCAACGCUUCAGUUAUGCCAGUUUUUUUUCUUCAGCGAAAGGUCGGAUGCUCUUCUAACAGACCUCGUAUUGAUAUUUUAUGUGCAAUGGCUGUAUGGUUUACCUGGCCCACACCAAACACAAGCCUCGUUGCAUUAGAGCAUGUGUCCCUUGGCAAUAAAAUGCAGACCCUAACACCGCUUCUUUGUCAUCUGUGUUGCAUACGAAGCCGGCUUUGUCGUUUUCAUUCCCGGCCGGCAAGCUGUGCGCACCUCAGAGAAAAGUCGGUGCUGACAAAAUUUCAAAAAAGAAUUUCUCGCAUUUAAAAAUGCCUUUUUUAACUUCACACAUGCAUAGCAGACAUGUAGAGCUAUCCAAUAAUGUAUCACAUUUUUUCGCCAACUACGAAGGCUGUUUUUUCCUUGAACAUGAAGCUUCUUGCAAAAGAUUAGAAUUUUUUUUUUACAGGCGAUCAGCUGAACCUUCAGAGCUUCAUACAUUUUUCUGCUAUACUAUGUCACCUGGGCUACCAUUCUGUAUUUAAUUUCUGUCCUGUGAAUUUUUUCUGACGAAAAAAAACUAACGGAUUGCAAUUUGACUCAUUUUUGCCGGUGCCAAAAGCAAUUGAAGUAUUCAAAUAUUUGAAAAAUUGGCUAUUUUGGCAGUUUCAUCACUUCACCGUAUUUCCACGCACACCAUUUGAAGGCCUCGAUCAAUACAAUGUGCAUUUGAAAAAAAAAGCAUUUGAAGCAUUUGAAAAAAAAAAUGAAAAGCUAGAGGACAUUUGAUGUCCUCUAGCUCAGCUGAACAGGAAAACUAAACUGUCACCUAAAAUGCUACAAAAUAUCUGGCAAAAAUAAAUAAAAGUGGGUAACGAGCUUCGAACUCUAGUAAACAUAUGGCAAUGUUUCAGAUAUAUGUGCGGUGUCAAAAAAAUGCUUGUCAAUUCGGCAUGGAAUCGCAUACCUGCAAGUGCAUCUGUGCCAUUUUUAGAGUUCAGUAAAAACGGCAUUUUACAUAACUUUGUAAAAAUGGUUUAUUGCUAUCUAAAAUACAUGAGUAAAAUUAAUAGGUAUAAGUCGGCUUAAAUUUAAUAUGCAACGAAACAUCUCCAGUAAUGGCGAUGAUGUGCCUUUCAUGUUUACAUAAAACCAUAUCUUCUGAAUUCUUUCGUUAUUUUUUGUGGCAGCGAAUAAAAUUGAAAUGGAACUCGCACAAGGAGCAACUUUGCUGUAUUCCAGCACAUCUCUAAUAGCUGUCUUUGUUUCAUAUGAAAAUCUGAAGCAGUUAAUAUGAAUAAGUCGCUUGAUAUGGAAUUACCUGUGCAGGAACGUUAUCAUGGCAGAAAACACAACUGGAUCAUGCAACAGCAAUGCAGCAUAAUAAACUGCUCCCAUAAGCAUCACUUAUUGUGAUUGCCAUGUUUCAAAAGUAUGUAAGGUUUACUGAACUUGGCGCACACCAUUCAACCAACAUAUAAGGAUUGUACAGUGAUCCUUUUUCAGUUUUACAGAUAUUUAAGUUGUCUGCCAGGUAGCAUAAUUCUUGUUCUUGAGCUGGAUUGUUCAGAGGUGGACAUUACUAACACAAGAAAUGAAAACAUUAAACUGAUUGUCAUAAAUUUAUUAAUUCACUUAUAACAUCACAGCACAUAUUUCAGUUUGCAAAUUGUAGCCAGUGAGUUUUCAAGACAUUCACUUGAAAUUAAUUUCCAAGAUGACAGCAAUUUCGAAAUUUUUCCAUAAAUGUGAGAGAAAUACAUGGGCAUUCCGGUUACUUUUGUGCUUCGAUGCAUAACAGUGCGUUUUGUUAAAAAAAGUAAGUGCUACAGCAGUGCAUUUCUACAGCCAGUUUGAUGGCAUGUGUCUCGUUACUAGUGUCAUUCUGGAAAUUCAUUCUAAGUGCAUUCACCUUGUAAAAUUACCGGCUACAAUUCGUAAAAACUUUAUUAGGAACUGAGUUUUUGUUAAUCAGCUGACUAUGGUGUCUUGUUUCUCAUGCAAGUAAUGUUUGGCACUCUGUAUCUAGAAUUAUGUUAGCUGCAACAGUCAGUCUUCAAUAAGUUCCAUGAAACUUAAAGAUAACCACCCUACAUAUCAGGUCUCAGUUGAGUGCUGUGGGCACAAGCAAUUGUGCCAUGGUUAUAGUACCACUGGCUACCUAAUAGAGAAAGCAAGUACCUUUUUUGAGUGUUCUUAUUUACAGUCAUGUCAGUCUGCUUGUACAUUUUUUUAUUUAGGCAGUUAUUUUUUAAAAUUUAUUUCUUUUGGUAAAUGUGUUUUACUUGAGAGCCACACUGACUACAUCUUCAGUAUUCAAUUUUGUUAUGGUGUCAAGCUGCAGGAAGUUUGUACUGUGCGAUAGUUUUUAAGAAGUUUCUGAUCUCAAACUACAAAUGGUUGUACAUUUACACAGAUGUGUGGUUACAAAUAAACAGUUCACCUAGAAAAA